UAGCUCAGUUGGUUAGAGCAGGGAACUCAUAAUUCCUUGGUCGCGGGUUCAAGUCCUGCCCGGCCUA
rnacentral:tRNA from 1 species